AAAACAAGCUUCAAGUGAGGGACGUUUCUUGAACCUAAGUGAUGUGUCUGUGCCGGAAAAAAUUCAGCAGGUUCUGCAAAAAGGCCCGAAGUUCUCCGUAGAACCUACCCUUCGACCUGAAGAAAAGAUUGCCACAGCAAGGACUGUCUCCAAGCUGGCCAAGGAGGAA